UACGUAGGAUGCAAGCGUUGUUCGGAAUUAUUGGGCGUAAAGAGCUCGUAGGCGGUUUGUCGCGUCUGCUGUGAAAACCCGAGGCUCAACCUCGGGCCUGCAGUGGGUACGGGCAGACUAGAGUGCGGUAGGGGAGAUUGGAAUUCCUGGUGUAGCGGUGGAAUGCGCAGAUAUCAGGAGGAACACCAAUGGCGAAGGCAGAUCUCUGGGCCGUAACUGACGCUGAGGAGCGAAAGCAUGGGGAGCGAACAGG
rnacentral:rRNA from 1 species